GCUCCGCUCUGUCCAAACACUGAGGAAGUGAGACACCUAGGGGGCUGUGUCAUGUCAAACGGCUGUCUUCACUGUAUGACAGUGGAAGAGAAACAUUAUCGUUUGUGUGCAGCAUAAAUCUGAUAGGAACCACAUCAAUGGCUGAAGAAGAA